AUGCCCUUCCCAGCUGUGGUUGCCGCGGUGCUGCUGCAGCUACUAACUGCAGCGGUGACAGCAGCAGGAUGCAGUACAAGUUGUGGUAACAUCAGCAUCCCCUACCCAUUUGGCAUCGAGCCUGAUUGCUACCAUGACGGCUUUAACCUCACCUGUGACUACUCGUACCGCCCUCCCAAACUUUUCCUUGGCGAUGGCACUGUCGAAGUGCUCGAGAUCUCCAUCCCCGACGGCACGGUGCGCAUCAACAGCACCAAUAUCAUGCCAAUGAGUCAUGAUAUUUACGGUGCAUCCAGGCCCAACACAAGCAGGCACCACACAUGGGAUGGCCUCAGAGAGAGAGGACCGUUCUUCGUUGCGCCGGAUAGGAACAAGUUCCUUGUGUUGUCGUGCAACAACAUCCAAGUCAUCCUCAUUGGAGAGGACAACUCCACCAUCAACGCCUGCGCUACUUACUGCCCAUCCUUGGGGAACUCAGAUGCACAGCCUCAGCUUAUCCGGUAUCUACUUCUGCAUGGUGAAUGCUCGGGCCUUGGCUGCUGUAAUGGAGGCAUCCCAAAAGGUUACACUUCCUACCACAUCCAGCUCCAGCCUUCCAAUGACUCGAGCUCCGAUGCUAAAUCGUCAGUAUAUAUAGCCGAGGAGGGGUCCUAUAACAUCUCAAAACUCAUGUCUGAACCUCGCGGUGUGGCACUUCCUGCCUUGCUAGACUGGGUGAUCAGCAAUUCGUCAUGCCAAAAGCAAAACUCUGUUGCUCCUGGAUGCCGCAGCAGCAACAGCUUUUGUCAAAACUACACAAGCUAUGUCUACAAUGGCUACCAGUGCCGCUGCUCUGCCGGUUAUUGUGGAAACCCUUACAUCCUGGACGGAUGCCAAGAUAUUGAUGAAUGUGUUCAUAAGGAAGCCCACUCAUGCCAUGGAAUUUGCGAAAAUAAGCCUGGAACAUUUUACUGCCGCUGCCCUGAUGGGACAUAUGGGAACCCCUCUAUAGAAGGGGGGCGUAUCAAGAUCACAAAUUACUCUGCAGGUUUAAUCAUAGGCAUAGUAAUCAGGGGUGUCUCAAUUUUGCUUCUGGCACUUAGCGCACCAUUUGUUACACGUAUGGUGAAGCUAAGGAAGGUGAAGAAAAUGAGAGAAAAGUUAUUCAACCAAAAUCAUGGGUUGCUAUUGCAGCAGUUAAUAUCACAAAAGGCAGAUAUUGGUGAAAGGAUGAUGUUUACCUUGGGGGAUAUAGAGAAGGCCACAAACAAUUUUGACAAGUCUCGUGAGGUUGGUGGCGGCGGACAUGGUGUCGUGUAUAAAGGAAUUCUAGACCUACAUGUUGUUGCCAUCAAGAAAUCAAAGAUUGUAGUACAAAGGGAAAUCAAUGAAUUCAUCAAUGAGGUUGCUAUUCUUUCUCAAAUCAACCAUAAAAAUGUGGUGAAGCUCCUGGGAUGCUGCCUUGAGACAGAAGUGCCUCUGUUGGUUUAUGAGUUCAUUUCAAAUGGAACCCUAUACCACCAUCUUCAUGUGGAAGGUCCAAAAUCAUUAUCAUGGGAUGAUCGUUUAAGGAUUGCACUUGAGAUCGCUAGAGCUCUAGCCUAUCUGCACUCGGCUACUUCAGUGCCCAUAUUUCACAGAGAUAUCAAGUCCUCCAACAUACUUCUGGAUGAGAGCUUAACAGCAAAGGUGUCGGACUUUGGAGCCUCAAGGUACAUCCCAAUUGAUCAAACAGCAGUGAUGACAGCUGUUCAAGGAACACUUGGUUAUUUAGACCCCAUGUACUACACAGGUCGACUAACAGACAAGAGCGAUGUUUUCAGUUUCUGUGUUCUCCUUAUAGAAUUGCUAACCAGGAAGAAACCGUAUGUGUAUAGAUCAGAUAACGAUGCCAGCCUUGUUGCCCAUUUCGUUUCAUCACUCAAAAAAGGCGAUCUUGCUGACAUAGUAGACCCGCAAGUCAUGGAAGAAGAAGACGACGGAGAACUCCAAGAAGUGGCCAUGCUAGCGGCGACGUGCACUGGAUUGGAAGGAGAGAGCCGACCAACAAUGAAGGAAGUGGAGAUGGCCCUUGAAAACUUGCGGGCCAGAAAGAAGCCCGCUCCAUAUAAUUCAGCGUCAAUGAGAUACGAUGGGGAUCAGAUUGUUGUGCAGUAUAAGUCAAUUGAAGAUUUACUCGCCAAGACGGAUAUGCCUGUUGAAGGGGAUGCCGAGGCAUCGAGCAGACAAUAUACUAUGGAAGAGGAAAUCUUGCUGUCAGCAAGGUACCCCAGAUGA
rnacentral:rRNA from 1 species